UGAAUGCACUAACUGUAAGUCGCUCUGGAUAAGAGCGUCUGCUAAAUUACUUAAA
rfam:Salmo salar isolate Sally breed double haploid chromosome ssa13, whole genome shotgun sequence.